UGGGGAAUUUUGGACAAUGGGCGAAAGCCUGAUCCAGCAAUGCCGCGUGUGUGAAGAAGGCCUUCGGGUUGUAAAGCACUUUUGUCCGGAAAGAAAUCCUUGGCUCUAAUACAGUCGGGGGAUGACGGUACCGGAAGAAUAAGCACCGGCUAACUACGUGCCAGCAGCCGCGGUAAUACGUAGGGUGCAAGCGUUAAUCGGAAUUACUGGGCGUAAAGCGUGCGCAGGCGGUUUGCUAAGACCGAUGUGAAAUCCCCGGGCUCAACCUGGGAACUGCAUUGGUGACUGGCAGGCUAGAGUAUGGCAGAGGGGGGUAGAAUUCCACGUGUAGAGUGAAAAUGCGUAGAGAUGUGGAGGAAUACCGAUGGCGAAGGCAGCCCCCUGGGCCAAUACUGACGCUCAUGCACGAAAGCGUGGGGAGCAAACAGGAUUAGAUACCCUGGUAGUCCACGCCCUAAACGAUGUCAACUAGUUGUUGGGGACUUCAUUUUCCUUAGUAACGUAGCUAACGCGUGAAGUUGGACCGCCUGGGGAGUACGGUCGCAAGAUU
rnacentral:rRNA from 1 species